UUCUCACUUGUGUGUUUUCAUUUGGCUCUUUGUUCUGUGAUUUGCAUGUGUCGUCAGGACUCUGCAGCUCAGAGGAGGAGACAGAAAAUGCAGAACAGUCGGACUCUGCAGCCGUGAGGUCCAGACGGUAUCAUCAUCAUCAUCAUCAUCAUCUGAACGUCUGUGCUGCCAAAAGCCCCGCCAGCUUGAAGAAACUUUAAAGCCCUGUCCACGCUCUCAUGGGAGGAGGAGGAGAAGAGGAGGAGAUUAAGGUCACAUCAGUUCUUCAAGCAAAGCAACAGGAAAUCCUGUGUGAUCAGAUGACAAGGUGUCCAGUUUCCAGAAGGUGAGAUCUACCCCCCACCCACGCCGCCCCCAUUGGUCUGCCAUGUCAUUGCAUAAUAAUCCCCUUUGAGAGCACACAAUGCCCUGUGGUCAUUUUGUCACAGACACUGAGUCACACCUAUGAGGGAUAUACCAGGACAAUGGACAUUUAUGUCUCUGUUUCAUGUGGUCUGUGUGACUAUACAAUGUUGACUCUUUACCGAAGCACGCUCAAGGUGAUCAUUAAAUCUGAGCUGGUUGCCAAAAAUAAACACCGGCUCAGGCAAACUCUCAAAUCACUUCCUCGUAAGCACUGGUUUAGUGAUUUAAAACAAACAAGACGUCGACAACAACAAGUUGAAAAGCCUUUGAGAUGCUUAGGCUACAUAGAAGCACUGUUUUAUCAGCUUCUCGGAGAUUAUAUGUCAAUAAAGAGAGAUCAUUUGGAAGUAUAUAACAACAGAGAAAGAUAUCUGGUGAUUAGACUCUAUCAAUGUGACGCAUCUUCAUUAAGCGUAAACCCAUAUGAAGAUAGGAGAUGGUGAUAGGUGAUAGGGAGGAGCUGGGUUUCACAAUAGUAGGUCUGAAAGGCAGAAUUGCAAUGAUACUUAAAAAUGGGCAACAUUUUACUCAUAGAGGAAUAAAGCUUCCUUAUUGAAGCUUUGCCAAAGCUUCACUUCAAUGUAAAGCAACAUGAAACAACACCUAUAUGUAACCUCGACAUGUGAAAGACACCUCGUGUGUGUGUGGUUUCUUGUCUUUCCUCCUUCUGUGUAUGUUAAUGUUGUGAUGUGAGUUUCCCCUACGUGUGUGUGUGUGUGUGUCUAGCCUGUCCCCUUUCCAAG